CGUAGAGAUCAGAAGGAAUACCGAUUGCGAAGGCGAUCUACUGGAACAUUACUGACGCUCAGAUGCGAAAGCGUGGGGAGCAAACAGGAUUAGAUACCCUGGUAGUCCACGCCCUAAACGAUGUACACUAGUUGUUGCUAUACUAGAUAUGGCAGUAAUGCAGUUAACACUUUAAGUGUACCGCCUGGGGAGUACGGUCGCAAGAUUAAAACUCAAAGGAAUAGACGGGGACCCGCACAAGCGGUGGAGCAUGUGGUUUAAUUCGACGAUACGCGAAAAACCUUACCUGGCCUUGACAUAGUAGGAACUUUCUAGAGAUAGAUUGGUGCUAGCUUGCUAGAACCUAUAUACAGGUGCUGCACGGCUGUCGUCAGCUCGUGUCGUGAGAUGUUGGGUUAAGUCCCGCAACGGGCGCAACCCACGUGAUUAGUUGCUAACAGUUCGGCUGAGAACUCUAAUCAGACUGCCUUCGUAAGGAGGAGGAAGGUGUGGACGACGUCAAGUCAUCAUGGCCCUUACGGCCAGGGCUACACACGUGCUACAAUGGGAUAUACAAAGAGCCGCAAUACCGCGAGGUGGAGCAAAUCUAGAAAAUAUCUCCCAGUUCGGAUUGUUCUCUGCAACUCGAGAACAUGAAGUUGGAAUCGCUAGUAAUCGUGGAUCAGCAUUGCCACGGUGAAUACGUUCCCGGGUCUUGUACUCACCGCCCGUCACACCAUGGGAGUUGAUUUCAUUCGAAGCGGGGAUGCUAAAGUAGCUACCUUCCACAAUGGGAUUAGCGACUGGGGUGAAGUCGUAACAAGGUAACC
rnacentral:rRNA from 1 species